GCGCCCGUAGCUCAGCUGGAUAGAGCAGCGGCCUUCUAAGCCGCCGGUCGCUGGUUCGAAUCCAGCCGGGCGUG
rnacentral:tRNA from 1 species